UACGAAGGUGGCAAGCGUUGUUCGGAAUUAUUGGGCGUAAAGGGCGCGUAGGCGGACUUGUAAGUCGAUUGUGAAAUCCCUGGGCUUAACCCGGGAACUGCAGUCGAAACUGCAUGUCUUGAAUGCUCGAGAGGAUGGUAGAAUUCCUGGUGUAGAGGUGAAAUUCGUAGAUAUCAGGAGGAAUACCGGAGGCGAAGCGGCCAUCUGGGCGAGACAUUGACGCUGAGGCGCGAAAGCGUGGGGAUCAAACAGG
rnacentral:rRNA from 1 species